GGGGGUGAACUGACCACUACUAUGCAGUAGGAGACACGCGUCUCCGGAGAGCGCGCAGAGAAAAUGAAGGUGGUGGCGGAGAAGGCGGGACUUACAGGGAAAUAAGACGGGGGGGGGG
ensembl:ncRNA F56A11.8 ncRNA